UACAGAGGUCUCAAGCGUUUGUUCGGAUUCAUUGGGCGUAAAGGGUGCGUAGGUGGCGCCGUAAGUCAGGUGUGAAAUUUCGGAGCUUAACUCCGAAACUGCAUUUGAUACUGCGGUGCUUGAGGACUGGAGAGGAGACUGGAAUUUACGGUGUAGCAGUGAAAUGCGUAGAGAUCGUAAGGAAGACCAGUGGCGAAGGCGGGUCUCUGGACAGUUCCUGACAGCUG
rnacentral:rRNA from 1 species